UACGUAGGGGGCUAGCGUUGUCCGGAAUCAUUGGGCGUAAAGAGCGUGUAGGCGGCCAAGCAGGUCCGUUGUGAAAACUGGAGGCUUAACCUCCAGACGUCGACGGAAACCGCGUGGCUAGAGUCCGGAAGAGGAGAGUGGAAUUCCUGGUGUAGCGGUGAAAUGCGCAGAUAUCAGGAGGAACACCGGUGGCGAAGGCGGUCGUCUGGGCCAAUACUGACGCUGAGGAGCGAAAGCGUGGGGAGCGAACAGG
rnacentral:rRNA from 1 species